rnacentral:rRNA from 1 species
ACAUCCAGAGAACUUUCCAGAGAUGGAUUGGUGCCUUCGGGAACUCUGAGACAGGUGCUGCAUGGCUGUCGUCAGCCCGUGUUGUGAAAUGUUGGGUUAAGUCCCGCAACGAGCGCAACCCUUAUCCUUUGUUGCCAGCGGUUAGGCCGGGAACUCAAAGGAGACUGCCAGUGAUAAACUGGAGGAAGGUGGGGAUGACGUCAAGUCAUCAUGGCCCUUACGAGUAGGGCUACACACGUGCUACAAUGGCGCAUACAAAGAGAAGCGACCUCGCGAGAGCAAGCGGACCUCAUAAAGUGCGUCGUAGUCCGGAUUGGAGUCUGCAACUCGACUCCAUGAAGUCGGAAUCGCUAGUAAUCGUGGAUCAGAAUGCCACGGUCGAAUACGUUCCGGGCCUUGUACACACCGCCCGUCACACCAUGGGAGUGGGUUGCAAAAGAAGUAGGUAGCUUAACCUUCGGGAGGGCGCUUACCACUUUGUGAUUCAUGACUGGGGUGAAGUCGUAACAAGGUAAGCGUAGUGCU